GGGCUGUCUAGUACAGUCACAAACCAAAGAACAUGAAACAACGUACGUAAUUUCUAUCAGACACAUAAUAACACUGAAAUGGCUUCUAAGGAGCAACUUACAGCGGCACAGAAACAGCUUCUCAGGAAAAGACAAGAUCUCGACUUUUGGAAGAAAAACGCGCUAAAAAUACGUAGUCGCAACCGCAUAGCUGGACUAGCUAUCGGGGCGUUUGUCAUCGGCAUGUUCAGCUACACCAUCCUCUCAGUGAAGCAGGAGAAGAUCAUGGAGGACAUUGAUAAUGAGGCAAAGAUCAAUUACAUCAGAGGCCCCAGGACCGGGACCAUCUCUUAGGGAUGUUCCCAGCUCCCUCACCUGCACAGGAACAGUGGAAGCUGAGCUCACACGGGACUGGACUGUCAAUCUGCCAUACGCAACUGUGGCCAAAAGAUACACACUUGUUUUUGAAAGGUGGAGGCGCCUAUCAGUUUCUGUUAUUUCAAUAUGCAUUGUAGAGAUAGAUGUAACCUUGCACAUGCUCUAGACCUGGAUACCCAGCAAACUGGUUUCUGAAUGUAAUAUAACUUGUUAUAUAAUAAGAGGUUGUUUAAGAAUAUUACAUGGUUUGUGUAUUGUGUAACUAAUUGGCCUCGUAAUAUAGGAGAAAGCUUACGUGUUGGGCUCUUCCAUAUUCAGAUGUUGUUAGAGAAUGAAAUAAAACGUAAAGCUGCAAUCAGAUGAUUAGUGUGUAAUAAAUGAUUCACUUACUUGACGGUGUAUCAGUUUUGAGUUUUCAAAGUCAAUGCGCGAUGAUUUUGGGCAUCAACCUAAAGGGAAAGAAAACUCAAAACAUUGCAUGAUGAGGCACUGCAUCGCCGUGCUAGCUGUGCCACCAGAGACUCUGUGUUCGAGCCCAGGCUCUGUCGCAGCCGGCUGUGACCGGGAGGUCCAUGGAUACACGCACAAUUGGCCUAGCGUCGUCCGGGUUAGGGAGGGUUUGGCCGGUAGGGAUAUCCUUGUCUCAUCGCGCACUAGCGACUCCUGUGGCGGGCUGGGCGCAGUGCACGCUGACCAGGUCGCCAGGUGCACGGUGUUUCCUCCGACACAUCGGUGCGGCUGGCUUCCGGGUUGGAUGCGCGCUGUGUUAAGAAGCGGUGCGGCUUGGUUGGGUUGUGUUUCGGGGUACGCUUUCGACCUUUGUCUAUCCAGAGCCCGUACGGGAGUUGUUGCGAUGAGACAAGACAGUAACUACUAACAAUUGGAUACCACGAAAUUGGGGAGAAAAUAAAAAAAUAAAAACAUUGCAUGAUGUUGAAUUGUCAUUUAUUAGCAAUAUGUACAAAUAUGAUUUAGGAAACAAUCACGCUUGAAAGGUAAAAAACAAAUGUUAAAGGCACAGAAUCUGCAUGGCAGUAUGUUUUCUAGAAACACGAUUGACAACAAAAUAGAGCUCAUGACAUCCUAAAUAUAUAUUGUAUAUUUACUGUUGAUGUCUUGAUUUAGAAGAACACAAUCUGAGUAAUAUAUUUCAUGUGUUCUACUACAAUCGUUCCCCAUGUGCAUACUUUAAGGCAAAUAGCUCAGAAUUCUUCACAGCUUCAGGUCUUUGUCAUUAAUCAAAUAAUUACCAACACUAAAUGCAUAGGCACGCAUACCGAUUUAAAAUAUAUAACUAUACAUCUUUACCCCACUAUUAUUUAUAGGUACGCAAUUGUUCAAUAGCAAUAGUGAACGGCCCCUAUGGAAAGUGCAUUGUAUCAAUCCAUAGAUUAAAAUACGUUUUUAAAGCAUAAGUGUCCACUCUUUGCUUAAAAAAUGAAGGCUGAUAAGUGACACCCAGUAUCUUUACUACUAGGCCAUAGAAAGUGAGUAACAAAUGAACAAUGUGUAGUAUAUUAUAAGACCUGGAGUGUUUGUAUACUGAACAAAAAUUUUAACGCAACAUGCAACAAUUUCAAAGAUUUUACUGAGUUACAGUUCAUAUAAGGAAAUCAGUCAAAUGAAAUGAAUUCAUUAGGCCCUAAUCUUUGGAUUUCAUAUCACAGGGAAUACAGAUAUGCAUCUGUUGGUCACAGAUACCUUAACAAAAAAUGGGUCUCGCAAUGGGCCUCACGAUCUCGUCACGGUAUUUCUGUACAUUUAAAAUUGCCAUCGAAAAAAUGCAAUUGUGUUCGGUGUCCGUAGCUUAUGCCUGCCCAUACCAUAGCCCCACUGCCACCAUGGGACACUGUUCACAACGUUGUAAUCAGCAAACCACUCAACCCACGACGCCAUACACGUUGUAUGUGGUUGUGAGGCUGGUUGGAUGUACUGCCACAUUCUCUAAAACGAAGUUGGAGUCGGUUUAAAUUUAAUGUUAAAUGAAUGUUAAAUGCUCUGGCAACAGGCCUGGGGGACAUUCCUGCAGUCAGCAUGCCAAUUGCACAUGCCCUCAAAACUUGAGACAUCUGUAGCACUGUGUUGUGUGACAAAACUUGCACAUUUUAGAGUGACCUUUUAUUGUUCCCAGCACAAGGUGCACCUGUGUAAUGAUCGUGCUGUUUAAUCAGCUUCUUGAAGGAUGAAGGAGGCUGGAAUAUCUUGGCAAAGGAGAAAUGCUCACUCACCGGGAUGUAAACAAAUGUCAUUUUAGAGAACUAAGCUAUUUGUGCAUAUGGAACAUUUCUGGGAUCUUCUACUUCAGCUCAUGAAACAUGGGACAAACACUUUACAUGUUGCGUUCAUAUUUUUGUUCAGUGUACGUUCAAUAAAGUGACAUGUAGUUGUUCAUGCACCAUGUGUGAUUUGUGUUGCUUCAUGAACAUUUGUUUACACCAAAUACAGCUCUGAUGUUUUGCUGAUACUUGCAGGCAGCUUGGAUUCUCUUAUUUAGGUGUACUUGAUUUAGUUCGCCAAGCACACCAAGUAAGCGGAGCUGCAAAAUGGAAAACUGCUUACCUGACUUGCCGGUCAAUGCAUGAGAUAGAUGCAUAUUUGUUCAUCCCAUUCCUUAUGCAAUAUUAUAAACCAUACAAAUACACUGUUUUGAGGCAAUGAUUACAUCUCAUCCUGCUAAAGCUAUCUUAUCUCCUGAGCAGACAUAUGCAGCGUUUACCGUGAAUACAGUCUCCGUGACUGCAGGAACAUUGCCUUUAGUUGUCAAUCGCAACAUUAAGCAGAUCUUCAGCACUUCGGAUUGAAUAGGGUCAUAUUGUAUUAAGAGGAGUUCCUGCUUGCAGCAGUUGGAUGACGAAGUGCAGGAGAGAGCAGGGCUUCUGGGACGUGUUUUCCAGGGAUAGCACAGGCAGCAUCCGCAUAAGAGCACACGCAGAAACACACACCUUAAGCCUUCCUAUCCUCACUUUCCAUUUGACCUGACGCUACACACAGCUAUAUAAGCUUAGCAUCCUUAAGAACGGGAGGGGGACUUCCUUGGCUUGGUGUCACAAUACUAACUCAUGGUAUUGCUCAUGAACCAGAUGGCAGAUAGGGUGCUUUGGUGCUCUGACAAUGGGAUCCUUAUCUAUCGUCGUUAGGAGGAGUGUUUAGUGAGGCCCAUCGUGUGGAUGACCAUGGCCUUUUCUCAUUUGGGAAAAAGUCCGUCCUCCAACCUCUCCUCCGUCCUCUCUCCUCCGUGACUCAGAAACUGAUAAGUGGUCGAGGCGAACAGAAGUGUAUUCUUCCUCCUUGUUAGCCAUCUUUCAUAGAUGAUAGUCAUGUGUGUCCUACCUGAGUCCUUCACUGAAUAAUUUAGAAAUCUGCCACACCCCCU